CCCCUGUAAUAAAUAAGGGGUUAUUCCUGCCCAGUGACACUGUUUAACGGCCGCGGUAUCCUAACCGUGCAAAGGUAGCAUAAUCAUUUGCCCAUUAAUUGUGGGCUGGAAUGAAAGGACUAACGAAAUCAAGACUGUCUCUAUAAAUAUAAUAAAAAUUAUUCUCUAGCUGAAGAGUGCUAGAUAAAAUCGAAGGACAAGAAGACCCUAUAGAGCUUUAUUUCUGAAGAGAUAAACUCCCACACAAUUCGGUUGGGGCGACCAAGGACAUACGUAUCAUCCUCAACAUUAAGAUAAAUAUAUCUAAAUAAAGACCCUUAAAAAAGAGCAAAAAACUAAGCUACCUUAGGGAUAACAGGCUAAUCUCUCUAAAGAGUCCUUAUCUAUAGAGGGGAUUGGCACCUCGAUGUUGGCUUAGGGAAACUUCCUAGCGCAAAAGCUAUGAUAAGAUGGUUUGUUCAACCAAUAAAUCCCUACAUGAGCUGAGUUCAGACCGGCGUAAGCCAGGUUAGUUUCUAUCCUCGAUAACCAACUUACUAUCUAUAGUACGAAAGGACCUAGAUAAGGGUAAACAUUACAAAAACUGAAUUAAUAUAAAAUAAUUUAAAUCACCUAAAUCAACUACUAUG
rnacentral:rRNA from 1 species